CUCUCGGCUCCACCCACGGCGGAAAUCUCGGCUCCACCCACGGCUACCGCCGAUCCGGCGGUCUCUCGGCCAUCAACGCCGGCCGCUGCCUUCCCUUUUGCUUCCCACCAUUCGGGGUAGCCGAUGAGUCGAAAGCACCCUUCUUUGGUGUGCCUCGUCAUUCCACAGUUUGUGCAAAUGAGCUUCGAUUUGUCCUCCCUUUUUGGUUUCGAAAAUGGUAAGCCGGGACCUCUGCCGCCGGAGGUGCUGGCAGCGUGGGGUGGUCGGCCGCUGGUUCCAGAGUGGUGGCGGGAGGAGGCGAGUCCAGCCCCUAUUUCUCCCGAUGAUGAGCCUUUAUUUUCGGUAGAGUUGGUUGCCGGCUGCAGGAUCUGUAGCCGGGCGGCCUCUCGUCUUACUUUUGAAAAAGCCGAUUCGGCUGAGGGAAUGGGUGUUUCUUUGAGGAUGUCUCGGCGGAUGUUAUCGUAUUUCCGAUCCAACCCAGAGAGGAAUUGAUAGAGUCUCCGGUUCUCGAUUAAUUUCUGGUAUUUAUUGAUUCCUUCUUCACAACACCCGAGAGGAUCCGGCUCCCUUCGAUCGAUGGUGAGCCAAAUCGCCUGCAGUUCGUUCCAAUAAUCCUCCAGAUAGUCGGGAUCCGUUGUUUUUGGAGGUGGUGGUCGGCCGGUGAUGUGGCUGGAUUUCCCUCUACUCCCUAUGGCCACCUUCAUGAGACGAGCCCAUAGGGCGUAGUUAUUGCCAUCAAGCUUGAUUCCCAGCGAGAUGGUGUUUGAGUUUUGCACUAAAUUUGCAAUCUGUAGUGAUAAUUCUUGUGAGGCUGUUGUUUUUGGAUCGGUAAUUUGGGUUUCUUCUGACAUGUUUUGUUUUGUGGUUUGUUUUCAGGAGAAACAGCGUGAGAUAAGAACAGGUUUGAUCGAAAAAAAAAAAGGUUUGAGUAAGGGAUUUGGAAACUAUGAUGAUAAUUUUCUGAGUUUCAAGGAUUUAACCUUGCUCUGAUACCAUGUUAAAAAACAUGUUAUCAUCAUAGAAGAGAGAAUUUGUUUCUUGAAUAUUGUUCUUGUAUUUCUUUUUCUUGAUAUUUCCUGCUGAUACAAUCAUCCCCUUUUAUAGUGUUUAGAAAGGGAGCUGAUAUUCUACAACAUCAUGAGGAACCCUACAACAUCAUGAGGAUUCCUACAACAUCAUGAGGAUCCCUACAACAUUAUGAAGAUUCCUGCAACAUCAUGAGGAUCCCUAUAAUUAAGGGAUCCUUGAUUAUCUUUUGACUAACUUUAUCUUUUGACUAACUUUUUUUAUUCUCAA